GACGAACGCUGGCGGCGUGCCUAAUACAUGCAAGUCGAGCGCAGGAAGCUGACGGAACUCUUCGGAGGGAAGGCAGUGGAAUGAGCGGCGGACGGGUGAGUAACACGUAAGGAACCUGCCUCAAGGAUUGGGAUAACUCCGAGAAAUCGGAGCUAAUACCGGAUAGUUCAACGGACCGCAUGGUCCGCUGAUGAAAGGCGCUUCGGCGUCACCUUGAGAUGGCCUUGCGGUGCAUUAGCUAGUUGGUGGGGUAACGGCCCACCAAGGCGACGAUGCCUAGCCGACCUGAGGGGGUGAUCGGCCACACUGGGACUGAGACACGGACCAGAAUCCUACGGGAGGCAGCAGUAGGGAAUCUUCCACAAUGGACGAAAGUCUGAUGGAGCAACGCCGCGUGAGUGAUGAAGGUUUUCGGAUCGUAAAACUCUGUUGUAAGGGAAGAACACGUACGAGAGGGAAUGCUCGUACCUUGACGGUACCUUACGAGAAAGCCACGGCUAACUACGUGCCAGCAGCCGCCGUAAAAC
rnacentral:rRNA from 1 species